GAAACCACUUUUGGGAGUGGCAUUCGAGCGAAACCCCGUUUUGACAAUGGCAAAAUGUCAAUUUUCUCGGACGGGGAGGCCCUACUCGGCGAGGUACCUCGAGAUCCUCCAGAAGCGCCGCACGCUCCCCGUGUGGCAGCAGAAGGACGAUUUCCUCGCCGUCCUCCGUGACAACCAGACCCUCAUCCUCGUCGUAGAAACCGGAAGCAGCAAGACCACUUAGGUAUUGAAUGUGCACCUUUGCCUGUACAUCUCCACGUUGAACUGUAAAUGUAUUUUAGGUUAGUCGUUAUUGGAACCUUCGCGGAGACGGUGAAUCCUGGUCCGGUGUCUGGUUUGCCCCGGAUUCGGGAGGAGUUUCCGUCGAGGUCGAGGGAUUUCUGGGGCACAACCAAUAUCUCCCGUCUCCAAGGAGCUCAACACCCACGCGCAAGAAGCAUCAAUGACCAGCUCUGGACCUUGAUGAUUGCACUAGGCUUCAAUGCAGUAGUGAGCGUGAGGGUGUCAAACGAGAUCAGGUACUAAUAUGGUCCUUCACAUGUUAUUGAUUCAUGGAGAGCUUUCAAGUGAGUCUGUAAGGUGCGCAGGAUAGAUGUUGGUCCGGGAUAUCAAUGUUCCUCUUCCAUUGCUACAGGAUCCAUGGCUUUGCAGAUGCUUUUGUAGCAUUUGUGGGAUGAUGAAGGCCUUCAUUUGUACAAAUUCACAUAAGUUGAUGGCAUUUCUUCAUUUUGCAUAGUACAAACACUACUGUUAUGUGCAAAUGAGGCCAUAUGAACAGUUCAUAACCAUGAGCCUUCAAUUCAUAAUAACCAGCAAGGUAAUAAUUAAAUUUGCUCUAACAUUUCUGCAUUUUCUUUCAGUAACCGAUGUUUAUCAAUGAUACUCCCUUCCUGUGACUCUUAGCAAUUAGCAUGUUACCAACAGGAAGUGUGGCUUUCCUAUCUUUUACGCAGGUUGCACUGUUGCACUAAACCAUAGGACUGCAUUUCUGUUCUCAUCUGUUUGUGUUGUUUGUUCAUCUCUCUUGAAAAGAGGUCACAAAUUUAUAAUAAUGCAGAUCUAAUCAACAAGGGAGUAAACUACCAUGAGUCUUCCAAGUUCUCUCUGAAGAAAAUAACACAUUUAUCUGCAGUAACACCGUUUGUAUUUUGAGCACAAAUUAUAUUCAAAUUAUUUUAGCAAUUGUUUAAUUUCUUUGGGAUAUAUAAGUUACUAAUUUUUAAAAAGGAUGAAUGGCAUGUGUGCAUCCCCGCUGUUUAUCCAUUGAACGGUCAUAAUACAUAGUUGACUUUAUGUAAAGAUACUUAACAUUGUUAUUGGCUCAUCAUUUAGAUUCCUGCAAUCUUAAUAGUUCCCUUUGUCUGCCUCUAGAUUAUAGUAUUAUUCUAAUUUACAUAUACUCAUUUAGUUGCAAGCUUACAAUAAUCUUUGUUUAACAACUAUUCCAUUGGAGUUGUAUAGCUGAUUUUGAAAUAGAGGAUUUCUAGAGCUGCAUAUGCACAUUCUCCUAUACUCUUGCAGAUUGAUUUCAACCGUUUCUAGAAACAAAUUGCCGCAAUCUAACCAUAUUAGGUCAGUUUGGUUUCCUCAAAGUUAAAAAAAGAUGCCAGCUUAGUUAAACAACAUGUUAGCCUAUGGGCUACUCCAUACUCAAACUAUACAUGUAAAUAUCACUUACAAGAUAGUCAAGAUUAUGUUAAUAUUUUAUAAUUAGUUUUCAAUCCAUCACAAUCCAGUGCACAUGGAACUAUGGAGGUAACAUAAGUUCCAUUUCGGUGGUGGCCUUUGAUUAAGAAACUUUCAGGCUCCAUCUAUGGAUGGUUUUCAGAAGGCCAAUUUGUACGUAAAAUAGCUUUGUUUGUUUUAUCCGCUGGCCAAUUGAUAACAAAAUAGUUUGGGGUGGAUUGACCAGAGCCUUCAAGACAGCAGUAUAUUGUUGUAAAUGGCGCAACGGGCAUAUGUGUGCUACAGAGUUUGUGGUUGCAAAUGAUGUAAUCGCUUAAAAGUUUGGUAAAUUAAAUAUGGCCAAAAACUUAGUGAUGGUGUUAACUGAUGUUAUUCGGUAUAAAGUUUGAUGGAAAUAUUUGAAA